GUAUUUGUCCCUUCGAGUACAUCAGAUAAAAUUGGAAUGAUACAAAGAAGAUUACCAUUGCCCCUGCACAAGGAUGACACACACAAUCGAGAAAUAGUUUUUCUUAGU